UUACCCAUGGAGCUGAAGUCAGUCGAAGAUACCAGCUGGCUGCAACUGUUUAUUAAAAACACAGCACUGUGCAAACACGAAAGUGGACGUAUACGGUGUGACGCCUGCCCGGUGCCGGAAGGUUAAUUGAUGGGGUCAGCGCAAGCGAAGCUCCUGAUCGAAGCCCCGGUAAACGGCGGCCGUAACUAUAACGGUCCUAAGGUAGCGAAAUUCCUUGUCGGGUAAGUUCCGACCUGCACGAAUGGCGUAAUGAUGGCCAGGCUGUCUCCACCCGGGACUCAGUGAAAUUGAACUCGCUGUGAAGAUGCAGUGUACCCGCGGCAAGACGGAAAGACCCCGUGAACCUUUACUAUAGCUUGACACUGAACACUGGUCCUUGAUGUGCAGGAUAGGUGGGAGGCUUUGAAGUGUGGACGCCAGUCUGCAUGGAGCCAUCCUUGAAAUACCACCCUUUAAUGGCUGGUGUUCUAACGUGGGCCCGUGAACCGGGUUGCGGACAGUGUCUGGUGGGUAGUUUGACUGGGGCGGUCUCCUCCUAAAGAGUAACGGAGGAGCACGAAGGUUGGCUAAUCCUGGUCGGACAUCAGGAGGUUAGUGCAAUGGCAUAAGCCAGCUUGACUGCGAGCGUGACGGCGCGAGCAGGUGCGAAAGCAGGUCAUAGUGAUCCGGUGGUUCUGAAUGGAAGGGCCAUCGCUCAACGGAUAAAAGGUACUCCGGGGAUAACAGGCUGAUACCGCCCAAGAGUUCAUAUCGACGGCGGUGUUUGGCACCUCGAUGUCGGCUCAUCACAUCCUGGGGCUGAAGUAGGUCCCAAGGGUAUGGCUGUUCGCCAUUUAAAGUGGUACGCGAGCUGGGUUUAGAACGUCGUGAGACAGUUCGGUCCCUAUCUGCCGUGGGCGCUGGAAGAUUGAGGGGGGCUGCUCCUAGUACGAGAGGACCGGAGUGGACGCAUCACUGGUGUUCGGGUUGUCAUGCCAAUGGCACUGCCCGGUAGCUACAUGCGGAAGAGAUAAGUGCUGAAAGCAUCUAAGCACGAAACUUGCCCCGAGAUGAAUCUUCCCUGAGCCUUUAAGGCUCCUGAAGGAACGUUGAAGACGACGACGUUGAUAGGCCGGGUGUGUAAGCGCAGCGAUGCGUUGAGCUAACCGGUACUAAUGAACCGUGAGGCUUAACCUU
rnacentral:rRNA from 1 species